GAUUCGAGCGCAGCGAGAAAGCGUUGCCGCAGGCAACGACCCGAAGGGCGAAGCGCGCAGCGCUGAGUAAUCCUUCCCCCACCACCA
rnacentral:sRNA from 4 species